rnacentral:lncRNA from 1 species
GAAGUGUUUGCAGGUAUUUAUUAGGAAGGGUUGUCCAUUUUUAAGGGAGGUUAUGCCGAUUUUUCGGUAAACUUUCCUUAGAGGUGGUCUCCGCAAGACUUACUUCGGGUUUUAGAAUGAAAUUCGGGGUGGGUCUUGACAGAUAACCUUUGAGUUAGCGAAGACCAAGGAGGCAAUAGAUCCUUGACUAGGGUUUUGAAUACCCAAAGAGGACAAGGAUGCUAGCAUAUUGGCUAUGCUAGGGUUUUUGCCAAUAGAUGGUGAUGGAUUGAUAGAAAACUUGCUUUUCGAUCCUGUCAAAGAGGGUGAGAGAUCAAGGUUUGGGUGCGAAGAGGCCAUGAGAAUGAUUGAAAAUAAGGAAAUUUGAAGUAAGACGGAGAUUUUUGGGUUUGGAGGUCGUGCUCUGGGAGAGAAAGAACGGCUUAGGGUUUAGGUGCAAGAGUUGGUCGGGUCACUGAACUUGAAAUAUAGUUGAAUGAUCCUUCCAUAGAUGUAUAGAUAAUAGCAUGUUUUUUUUUUUUUUCUAUAUUACUGGAUUUGCAACACUCCGGACCAAAUUUUACUUAUUUAUUGGGUAUUCUCUGAGUUACUAAAGAAGUUAGCAUUUAAGUUUAUUUUCGAGUUUUUCUUAAAAUGACAAAUUUCUCUGUUAAGGUCUCGAUGUCGUAGUUUGUGUUGACACGAGUUUACCGGUGUCUUGAAAUGACAAAUUCCUUUGUUAAGGUCUCGAUGUCGUAGUUUGUGUUGACACGAGUUCACCGGUGUCUUAAGAUUAUUUUUCGGAUCUUCGAGGUAUUUUCUACAAUUUGCCGAAGGUUUGUUAUUAGAAUUGAUUUUCUGAAAUUAGAGUAUAGCAUUUAAUCUUGACGGUCGGAACCUUAGGGUUUUGAUCUCAACCAUUGAUCCAAGUAUAAAAUGAUAAGAGGGGAUUGACUUUGUCAAAGCCUAAUUAUGGGCGUUGAACCGAGCUGCAGUCCAUCUCUUCCCUCUCUCGUCGUCUCCGACGACUCCACGGCGGAGCGGCGCCGUCCGGCCACAUCUCAUCACGAAACCACCACCAAAAUGAUCGCCUCUUCAUUCUAUUCCUAACCCAGCCCUCUUUUCGCACAUCCAUCCACUUACGAGGAAGAUCGAUGUCGAAGAGUCACGGCGGUGUUCCUCGUUUUCCGGCAAACACCGGCGGCGACGGCGAUAACGAAGAGUAGGGUUCUUCUCCUUCUUCCUUCUUCUUCAAUUUUGUGUCUUAAAUCCUUUGAAUCGUGCCCUAAUUUUGAAAAACCCCUCUUCUGUGUUUUUCUGGGUUUCGGGUUAUCUCCUCUGUCGACGUGUUCUCGGUCUUCCAGUGAGCUUCUCGAGCUCCGAUGAGUCCUGCAAACCUCGGGUGAAACUCAGACGCCUUUUGAUGGAGCUUUGGAGCUUCAUCGAUCGGGGUUCAAGGCGGAGGCUUAGGAGUUCUGCUGGGGUUGAGAUUCGGCAAGAAGGUGUUUCAGAAUGUAUUUAUGGACGAGAGGAAGUUCUUGGGUUCAAUGUUUGGCAGAUUGAAGGUGAGUGUUAAGUUGUGAAGCUUCUGUGUUGUUAUUGUUAUGUUGUGGUUGGUUGGUGUUUGAUUUAGCUCUUUGGUUGUUUGUCGAGAACUUGGUGAAUCGAAGAUUUCGGGGAGGUCAUGGCGAAAUUCCGGCAAGACGCCGGAAUCAGGCGAGUAUUUCCGGCAAGUCGCCGGAAUUUGGUAGGGAUUCCGGCGAGGUAGUAGUUCCGGCAGUAGAAGAUGAGGUAGUUUUUACGCGAUGGUACUAAUUUGUUCCAGAUGCAAUGGUAAUUAAUUACGUAGAAUCAUUCAGUCAUUGCUAUUUUGUUCCAGAUGAAGUGUUACACCUUAAAGGCUAUUGCUAUUGCUACUGGAGAUUAGAGAGGCCGAUAAUCACUUUGUAACGAUCAUCCAUCCACUAUGGAUUAAGCUACAAACAGGCGCGGAGCCAAGGCUUUGGUUGGUUGGGCCGAGUUUUCUGGAAUUAAAAAAAAAACCAUGUAUAUUAUGUUUUUUUUUUUUUUGUUACAUUAUUGUUCAAACAAGUCCAUGUGCCACCUAAACUGCCCGAUGCCUAUCUCUCUUCCUCUCUACGUGACUAAGCCUCUAUUUCUCAAUUCCUCUUCCACUUUUCCUUCUAGUUUUUCAGUCUUUUCCUCUUUGAAUCUCAUAAAAUCCUCAUUUUUCUUCCUAUAUUGGAUGUUAAAUUAUCAAUAUAAGUUAUUGCAUUUCAAUCUAUUCAAUUUGAGAAAAAUUUUGUUGGGUUUCUAGUUUGUCUAUGAUUUUUAGAGUUUCUCAAUACUUUCAUCAAUGCCUACUUUUUUACGAACACUUCAUUACAUACACCUGAGCUCAUACACUUUGCAUGGUUGUACUGGAAAAUUUUCUUUGGCCUUCGGCCAAAAUUAACGCCCACCUCAUGUUCAAAUCUUGGAUCCGCCAUUGGCUACAAAAAUCAAUUACCUUCAGCAAGAAACAACUAUCAAGUCCUUAUCUUUCAUAGAGUAUGGAACACCCAAAACCUAUGCCACAAUCCCUCCAAUCCCAAAUUCCAUUAUAGAAGAAAAAUUGAAAAAAUCCCAAUCCGAUCACAGCAGAAAUGAGAAGAGAUCCAAGAGGAGACCUGAGAGGCUAGGAGAUAUUUCAAGACCAUACUGUGCGAAGAGGAGAAGUGGAGAACAACGUCUGUGUGGUGCUAUGUGAAGUUUAAUAACUAACAUUUUCUUUUUUCUGAUAUGGUUAAUUGGUUGUAAUAUAUAUACCUCUACUUAAGGCUGGGUGUUAGGGUCUGAAAUCUUGAAAACCUGACCCGAGCCCAGCUCAACUUGAGGGUUUUUAACCUAAAAAUCUCUCUAGGCUUAAUUCCAUAUAGCCUACUGACCAUAUCCUCCCCUGGUCAUCCGCCAGGCUAAACUCAUAAAGAUGGUUGCGGUGGGCAGAGCCGGCGUUGGGCGGUCUGGCAUUCUCUUUUUUCUUUUUUCUGCCUACUGUAAAAUAUUAUUAUAUAUUUGAAGUCAUCGGUAUAUAUGUAUUACAUGUUUAGUUCAGUUGGUUAAGGUGAAGGUCUCAUGUUCGAUUCCCCCACUCAGAUCCUUUUCUGCUCUUUUUUUGUCGUGUAUUGUUUUUCUAUUAGGUUUAAAUCUAUACCUUUUUACCCUUUUUUUUUUGAAAUAAAUCAUUGAUAUAUUGAAACGCACGUCAGAAUGGCAAAGUACCAUUACACUUGUAAAUUCCUGCACGCUUAUUUGUGAGCCUAAAUAGAGAUUAAAAUCUUAGCAAUAAUGCAGAUACUAGAGCUAGUAGACUUACUAUCGCCUGAGCACUCAAUUAUGGUGAUUCAAGUACAUAUCAAUUAUCUUAUCGAUCUAAGAUCCUAUUUGUCUGUAAGCUUAAACCAUAAACAAUUUUAGGCCACUUCUAGUUUGAAAUCAGGCCCGAUGACUCGGGGUACCCUACCUGGUGGGAUUUUUGCCCCUAUUCGAUAUCUUUGAUAUCAAUAAAAACCUUCGGUGUCAUUUCCUAUUUUUAGUUUUUUCUUCUAUUUUGUUUUUUUUAUAUAAUUUUUUCGCACCAAACCCUUCAAAGCAUAGGACCGGCCCUGGCGGUGGGACCAAGAAUGAAAGAUUACGUUGGAAAUGUGAUCCCAAUGGCUUUGAAAGGUGGUCGAACAUCACUAACGAUCUAACGCAUGUAGGGUAUAUGAGUAAUUUAAUAAAAAGUAAAAAUUAAAAAUUAAACCAUGAAAAUAACAAUUAAUGAAAUUUUGAUUGUUAGAGUUCUAGUUUGAUUGUUGAGAGACGACUCUAGUUGCCCUGUGAUGGCCUUUGCUCAUAAGAUUGGGAAGUCAACCGUUCCCAUAUUAGAAGUUACUGCGCUUAAGGAUAGUCUUCUCACUGCUCUAGAGUUGGGGUUUUAGAAUAUUUUGGUUGAAGGUGACUCCUCGCUGGUUAUCAAUUGUGUUAUUAGAAAGUUCAAGUGCCCUUGGAGACCCAUUCAACUUAUCCAAGAUAUCAGAAGGUUAGCUAGUUCUUUUCAAAGCAUCUCUUUUCGGCAUGUCUUCCAAGAGGCUAACUUCGCGGCCAACGCGCUUGCUAAUUUUGGCCACCAGCUUUCAAGUCUUUGUCGUUGGGAGUCAGAAUUUCCUCUUGUUGUAAGGCAGGCCAUUAAUUUUGACCACUUUGGAGUCAGGUGCUCGCGAGGUUUUGUUUUGUAAUCAGUCUUUUAGCAUAAAAAAAAAUUAAUUAUUAGAAUUCUAAAUUCCAUCAUUUCAAAAUUUCUCAAGAAGUUUAAAAAGAAUCAUCUAAGCACAACGCUAGUGACCAGGUGAACACGACUGUAUUAAACGAUACCGGACAAUCAAUGUGGGCUAGUGCAUCAAAGGAAAAUUUUAUUUGAUUUGAUUAUAUUCAUUCAUUAAGACACAUUGAUUAUUUAUCCUUUUUUCUUUUGUAAAGAUAUUGAUUAUUUUUAAAUUCAAAGGAUAUUUAGGAAAACAAAUCCAGCCAUAUUUACUGUCAUAAUUGUUGUGAUAUAAAUACCGUUCAUACAAUAUUAAAUCAGCUUUAUAAAGAGAAAGAAUAUCAAAACACAUCCAACCAUAUUCAUUCUCAUAAUUAUUGUCAUAAUUGUCAACGUUCAUACAAGAUUGAAUUAACUAUAUAAAGAGAAGAGAUUCACCUUUGUUGAAUCAGUUUUCUCAUAACCUCAAGCCUUGAAAAUAUGAUGACUUUAAUAUUUCUAACAAAGCUCAUCAUGAUACUUGUGUGUCAAAUCGUGUUUCUUCCAAUGGGUCAAUGUAGCAUAGAUUUUUGGCCAAUGGAUGCUAAACUCAUUGACGAAACAUGUCAAAAAACACCAAACCCCAAUCUCUGUGUCUCAUCUCUCAAAUCAGAUCCUCGAAGUUCUGGUGCUGAUGUCAAAGGCUUGGGCAUAAUAAUGGUGGAUGUGGUUAAGGCCAAAGCAAUUAUCGGUCAAAACAAAGUAAGUGGAUUACUUAAGCAGAGCCCAGGAGAUCUACGCUUGAAAGUCGGUUCAGGUGACUACGAUGCGAUUUCAAACCAUCAGGUCCCAAAUGCUUCCUUGGCAUUUAGUAGAGAUAUCCCUCAUAUUGCUGAAGAAGACAUGAGUGAAGCUGCUGACGAGGCAAGGGCAUGCGAGUUAAGUUUUUCAGGGAGGUCUCCUCUAACAGAUGUAAAUAAUGCUGUGGCAGAUGUCGCGGCUAUUACUGCAGCUAUAGCAAACUAAUUAGGCGGUUGACAUAUAUCAUGUUGUUUCAUUGUCAACCAUAAACAAUUUGUAUUCGAAUAAGUUGACACUACAAAAAAACCCGCUAGUACCCACGUUUCCUAUUUGUGGGCUUUGACCCCUUUGCCCACGAAUCAUUGUGGCUGUUGACUUUAUCCACGAUGCAGCAACAUUUUUAGGGAAUGUGGCCUUUAAUGCCGUGGCUGUUGCUAAAUAUUAUCACGAUUAUUAUCACAAUUGCGCUGCAAUCGUGAGACUUCUUACAUGGACCCCACUUUGGGACCUACCACCACAAACUGUCAAAGGAGCUCACGAUUGUUUAUCAAUCGUGCCAAUAUCUAUAUUAUAUUCAUUCAAGUCACCCACGAUUGUUUUGGGUUUUGUGGCUUCAUUACAACUGAUUUAAAAAAAUAUAUAUAUAUUAUAGAUCGGAUACUGAAAGUGAACCUAUAUAAUUAACAGAAACCCAGUUGCUAUAUUAAAUCUCCCUGUCCACAAUUCAAGUAUCGUAAUUACAAUUUACAAACAGCUAAACAAAUAAAAACAAUCUACAUC